rnacentral:tRNA from 1 species
GGGUGCCGUGGUCCGCGCGGACAGCCGCCGGCUGCCCUUCGGCGAGGCACGGUUCGACGCCGUGGUCACCGU